rnacentral:tRNA from 1 species
GACGUGCCAUCGGGUGGCGGGCCAGCGAUUCCGGCUUGAAUCCGGGACGAUGGGCGCGCAAGGCAAGUCCUGCGGGCUCGGGGCCCGCGCACGGCA